UCCGGGCCCAAUCUAAGCCCGAUAUCCUUUUCGGCCCAUGGUUGGCAGCCCAUUUGAGGGCUGCCACCUCAUGUUAAUUGAGAGGACAGAGGAGUCCAGCUGUCGGCACUGGGUGCAGCUGAAACAAUGCUGCUAAAGCGGUGACUACUGCUUAAGAAAUCCCCAAACCCCCUGCCUUCUCUCCUCUUGAUGUAUUCGAGAUAACAGAGAAAGAAAGAAACAAAGAGAGAAAGGAAGGGGAAGGAAGAAGACUCACCGCGUGCGGCCGCGAGCGUCGCCGGCGCCCUGGAAGCUAGGUAAUUAAGGAUUUGUCACCUGGACUUGAGAAAUUUGGAAAGCGAAUCACUAUCCUCACCACUGAUAGCUGUCGGAGACACUUUAAUUUGGUAUCUGGGCUUCUUUCCUUUGGGGUAAAAUAAGUAUACUUUUGUGUACAUAAACUACAUAGAAGCUCUGUAUUUGGGUACUGACCAGCAUGUUGUACUAAGAAUGCUUUCAUAUAUAAAGGUUUGGUUGGUUUGACUA